GACGAACGCUGGCGGCGUGCUUAACACAUGCAAGUCGAACGGAAAGACGAGGAGCUUGUGCCGCUGACGGUAGCGGAGGGCGGGAGUGUAACGCGUGGAUAACGUACUUAUAUGUCGGGGAAAAUAACGGAAAACGGGAGAUGAUACCAGAGGAUAUAUUGAACCGCGGGGGGCAAUGGAGAGUGACGGCUUUGGUGGAUGGAAUAGCGGGUUCCGCGCCGCAUUGGCUAGUUGGUAAGGUAACAGCCUACCAAGGCUACGAUGCGUAGCCGACCUGAGGGGGUGAUCGGCCACCCUGGAACUGAGACACGGUCCAGACUCCUACGGGAGGCAGCAGUGGGGAAUCUUCGGCAAAGGGCGAAAGCCUGACGCAGCCAUGCCGCGUGAGUGAUGACGGCCUUCGGUUCGUAAAGCCCUCUUUUUGGGUAAGAACAGCUGUCUCUUUAUCCCUGGCCGUCUUGACGGUACCUAAUCAAUAAGCACCGGCUAACUACGUG
rnacentral:rRNA from 1 species